UGUGCCGCGACGCUACUGCCUCCUCUUCUCCGAGCCUGAUCUCUGCCUAUCGACGCUGAGUUGUGCCCUAGCGCCAGCUGCCACCAUCACUGUGCCUGCCGACGCCGCUGUCUUUCGACCUCAGCGUCGACCUCCUCCACUUGACCGUGCCCUAGCUCCGAACCAAGUCUUCUUCCUCAGUUUUUCUAGUUGUUAUCGCCAGUGUAACUCUAGCCAGUAUUCAACAGCCGCUGGGACCAAUCGUCGAAGAAGGAACUGUUGAUUUGAGGAAACACAGGGUUCCCGGCAGCAACUUCGCUGUGACUUAGGCAACAAAUUUCCAGCAUCAAUAGGGGGCUUCAGAUUAAGGACUGUGACGCGAGACGAGUAUCUCGGAGUCAGAUUUGGACUUUUCUUAUCGG